CUUCAGAUAAUAAUCUCUCUUCUCUUUCGAUUCGGGGGAUGGAUGGAUGAAGCGAGAGGGGGCGAGAGGGAGGCGGGGAUUUAUAGAGGGAUCUCUUCUCUGCCCGAGGAGAGACGGCAGCCUCGUCAAUCCGGUGGGUGGGUGGGUGGGCUCUUCUUUUGUUUAAUUAAUCAGUGAGCAGGGGAGGGAUUAAUUAGCGAGGCGCUUUAUUAUUACGGAGUGGGGCAGGCCCGACCAAGUCGCUAUCCGACGGUCCCGUCCUUUAUCACCCGUGGGUAGCCGCCCCCGGCUGGGCAGCCCCUGCUGCUGGUAAGCAAUGGCUGGAAUUUGUUGCGGAAAUUUCCGGACAAGCACCGCUUCUGAUUUUAGAAACAGGCCGUGACUUGAGUUGAGGGUUGGCGUAACUGAGAAGUGUCGAAUCUCAAUUAUUCGUUGGUUUUUCUAACCACAUUGACGUUUCUCGCUUUUGAAUGUGCUUGGAGAGCUGUGCCUGAAUGAUCUUAUCCUUGUCCUCUUCUUCCUUGGAUCUCCGAUUGCCGCCGUCUCCGUGGUUUGAGGGUUUCAAGUUUCUUUGGAGCCUCAAGUGUGUAUUAUGUGUGUAAUCACGGAUGUAGGACUGAUAGCAACAUGUUCGUUAUCUAACACGUGUGUCUUUGUAGGAGUAUUUCAUAAUUGAUUUUAGAAAUCUUGUAUAUUGUAUUGUAAUCUUUUUGCAUGUUUUGUUGGGCAUAUAUACAAAGAAAACCUAGUGGCUUCUUGUCA